AACGAACGCUGGCGGCAUGCCUAACACAUGCAAGUCGAACGAGAUCUUCGGGUCUAGUGGCGCACGGGUGCGUAACGCGUGGGAAUCUGCCCUUUGGUUCGGAAUAACAGUUGGAAACGACUGCUAAUACCGGAUGAUGACGAAAGUCCAAAGAUUUAUCGCCAGAGGAAGAGCCCGCGUAGGAUUAGCUAGUUGGUGUGGUAAAGGCGCACCAAGGAGACGAUCCUUAGCUGGUCUGAGAGGAUGAUCAGCCACACUGGGACUGAGACACGGCCCAGACUCCUACGGGAGGCAGCAGUGGGGAAUAUUGGACAAUAGGCGAAAGCCUGAUCCAGCAAUGCCGCGUGAGUGAUGAAGGCCUUAGGGUUGUAAAGCUCUUUUACCCGGGAUGAUAAUGACAGUACCGGGAGAAUAAGCUCCGGCUAACUCCGUGCCAGCCGCCGCAGUAA
rnacentral:rRNA from 1 species